rnacentral:rRNA from 1 species
AACACGUGGGUAACCUGCCUGUAAGACUGGGAUAACUCCGGGAAACCGGAGCUAAUACCGGAUAGUUCCUUGAACCGCAUGGUUCAAGGAUGAAAGACGGUUUCGGCUGUCACUUACAGAUGGACCCGCGGCGCAUUAGCUAGUUGGUGGGGUAAUGGCUCACCAAGGCGACGAUGCGUAGCCGACCUGAGAGGGUGAUCGGCCACACUGGGACUGAGACACGGCCCAGACUCCUACGGGAGGCAGCAGUAGGGAAUCUUCCGCAAUGGACGAAAGUCUGACGGAGCAACGCCGCGUGAGUGAUGAAGGUUUUCGGAUCGUAAAGCUCUGUUGUUAGGGAAGAACAAGUGCGAGAGUAACUGCUCGCACCUUGACGGUACCUAACCAGAAAGCCACGGCUAACUACGUGCCAGCAGCCGCGGUAAUACGUAGGUGGCAAGCGUUGUCCGGAAUUAUUGGGCGUAAAGGGCUCGCAGGCGGUUUCUUAAGUCUGAUGUGAAAGCCCCCGGCUCAACCGGGGAGGGUCAUUGGAAACUGGGAAACUUGAGUGCAGAAGAGGAGAGUGGAAUUCCACGUGUAGCGGUGAAAUGCGUAGAGAUGUGGAGGAACACCAGUGGCGAAGGCGACUCUCUGGUCUGUAACUGACGCUGAGGAGCGAAAGCGUGGGGAGCGAACAGGAUUAGAUACCCUGGUAGUCCACGCCGUAAACGAUGAGUGCUAAGUGUUUAGGGGGUUUCCGCCCCUUAGUGCUGCAGCUAACGCAUUAAGCACUCCGCCUGGGGAGUACGGUCGCAAGACUGAAACUCAAAGGAAUUGACGGGGGCCCGCACAAGCGGUGGAGCAUGUGGUUUAAUU